rnacentral:rRNA from 1 species
AGUAACGCGUAAAGAACUUGCCUCACAGAUAGGGACAACAUUUGGAAACGAAUGCUAAUACCUGAUAUUAUGAUUUUAGGGCAUCCUAGAAUUAUGAAAGCUAUAUGCACUGUGAGAGAGCUUUGCGUCCCAUUAGCUAGUUGGAGAGGUAACGGCUCACCAAGGCGAUGAUGGGUAGCCGGCCUGAGAGGGUGAUCGGCCACAAGGGGACUGAGACACGGCCCUU